AACGAACGCUGGCGGCAGGCCUAACACAUGCAAGUCGAGCGCGCCCUUCGGGGUGAGCGGCGGACGGGUGAGUAACGCGUGGGAACGUGCCCUUCUCUGCGGAAUAGCCUCGGGAAACUGAGAGUAAUACCGCAUACGCCCUUUGGGGGAAAGAUUCAUCGGAGAAGGAUCGGCCCGCGUUGGAUUAGGUAGUUGGUGGGGUAAUGGCCCACCAAGCCGACGAUCCAUAGCUGGUUUGAGAGGAUGAUCAGCCACACUGGGACUGAGACACGGCCCAGACUCCUACGGGAGGCAGCAGUGGGGAAUCUUAGACAAUGGGGGCAACCCUGAUCUAGCCAUGCCGCGUGAGUGAUGAAGGCCUUAGGGUUGUAAAGCUCUUUCAGCUGGGAAGAUAAUGACGGUACCAGCAGAAGAAGCCCCGGCUAACUCCG
rnacentral:rRNA from 1 species